GUUAUGUUAUUAUCUUUUUUUUUAUGAUCUUUUACAAAAUGUGUGUGUGAUAUAAAGGGCAUAAGCACAGAACUGAAUCCAUGCCUACUUUAUGUGCACAGGUGGAUUUUGAAUAGAGGAGUGCACGUUGCCUAAUGGCCAGCAACAUCCCCAUAUUGCAAUUCGAUAAUGAUCCUUCCGCAGGUUCACCUACGGAAA
rnacentral:misc_RNA from 1 species